AAUUCAAGGAAGUUUGCACGUGGGAGUCAAACAACUUCAAUUCGAUAAAAACGUAUAUUGAUAAGGGCUUCCGCAUAUUAAAAGCAGCAGAUAAUCAGGUCGCUCCUAAAUAUGUUUGUUUUCUGGUACCAAGAAAAUAUGGCACCAGCGAAAAACGACACGAACGGAAUUUGUCGCUACACAUGUGUGCCUACAUUAUUAGGUCUCAUGGUGGUCGCAAAGAUGCCAUAUAUUUUGACCCAGCCUCCGAAUGCUAUGGACACGAGGCCCCGGCAACACUCCAAAACCUGCGAAAGCCAGCAGUUGAAACUUUUUCGUUUAAGUUCGGGGUGUCAUCAGGUAAAAACGACUGCUUCUACAAAGUCAUGGAGUAUUUCUUGAAGCUGGCAUCUGGGGAAGAGUCGUUCGAGCCGAACGAAUUGAAGACAUGUAGAAGAGUGGACCAGCACACCGAAAAUCGAACUAAGUUAUUGGCUAAACAGUCUUGAA